CUUAACAUGAAGUCCGAC
rnacentral:rRNA from 1 species